rnacentral:rRNA from 1 species
AGUUUAACGGAGCCGAAGGGAAACCGAGUCUGAACAGGGCGAUUUUAGUCGCUGGGCGUAGACGCGAAACCUGGUGAUCUAAGCCUGUCCAGGGUGAAGCUGUGGUAAGACACAGUGGAGGCCCGAACUCACCGCCGUUGAAAAGUUGGGAGAUGAGGUAGGUUUAGGGGUGAAAAGCCAAUCGAACUAGGAGAUAGCUCGUUCUCUCCGAAAUGCAUUUAGGUGCAGCCUUGAGUGUUUAAUUAUGGGGGUAGAGCACUGAAUGGACUAGGGGGCGCAUUGCUUACUGAAUCCAAUCAAACUCCGAAUACCAUAAUUCAAGAGCUCAGGAGUGAGACUAUGGGAAUUAACUUCCAUUGUCAAAAGGGAAACAACCCAGACCACCAGCUAAGGUCCCUAAUCAUAACUAAGUGGGAAAGGAGGUGGAGAUUCAUAAACAACCAGGAGGUUGGCUUAGAAGCAGCCAUACCUUUAAAGAGUGCGUAAUAGCUCACUGGUCGAGAGUCUCUGCGCCGACAAUGUAACGGGGCUAAGUUAUGAACCGAAGCUGUGGAAUUGCGCAAGCAAUUGGUAGGAGAGCGUUCUGUAGGCCGUUGAAGGAGAAGCGUAAGCAACUCUGGAGGUAUCAGAAGUGAGAAUGCAGGAAUAAGUAGCGAGAAGGGAGGCGAGAAUCCUCCCCGCCGGAAGACCAAGGUUUUCAGGGUAAAGCUUGUCUUCCCUGAGUAAGCCGGGACCUAAGCCGAGGCUAUAGUGCGUAGGCGAAUGGAAAACAGAUUAAUAUUUCUGUGCCAGUCAUAUUUUGUGAUGGAGGGACGCAGAAGGGUAUGUACGCGGAAGAACGGUAGUUUCCGUAAAAGCAUGUAGAAUGACUUGAUAGGUAAAUCCGUCAAGUUAGAUUUGAGGUGUGAUAUAUAGUCGUAAGAUGAAUGUACAAAUCCCACGCUGCCGAGAAAAGCUUCUAACGUUAAGGUAUGACUGCCCGUACCCGAAACCGACACAGGUGGUCAGGAUGAGAAAUCUAAGGCGGACAGGCUAACUCUCGUUAAGGAACUCUGCAAAAUUGCCCCGUAACUUCGGGAGAAGGGGUGCCCCUGAGUGUGAGCAUACACGCGAUGUUAAGCGCUUGGGGGUCGCAGUGAAGAGGCUCAAGCAACUGUUUAACAAAAACACAGGUCUAUGCUAAGCUGUAAGGCGAUGUAUAUGGGCUGACACCUGCCCAGUGCCGGAAGGUUAAGAGGAGGAGUGAGAGCUCCGAAUUGAAGCCCCGGUGAACGGCGGCCGUAACUAUAACGGUCCUAAGGUAGCGAAAUUCCUUGUCGGGUAAGUUCCGACCUGCACGAAUGGUGU